rnacentral:lncRNA from 1 species
UGGUCACAUGCCCACACCUGUGGCUUCUGAAGCAGAGCACCAGCAGUGACAGUCCCACCAGAACCGCAUGGAAUAGAAAACUGUGCAUUUCCCUAAGGAAAGGGAAUGCCAGAGAAGGGCAGAAGGGAAAUCAGGAAGACAAAACGGUAAAUUACCUACCACAAAUCCAAUUCAUUGGUAUUUUUCCACUUACACUUAACCAAGCAACGAUUUCUCCUGGUCCCAUAAUGGAAAAGAGGGUUUAUCUAGAUUCAUAUAUACAAGACUGAAGAGUGAAGAGAGACCCAGAGAAUGUUCUAAAAUCUGCCAGUUAGCAUAAUCACACAGAGAAAUCUCUGCUUCCAGAGGAGGAGCCAAGUUCAAGUCAGAGGUGAGGAAUGCCAACAGGAAAGCUCACUUUCUCCGGGGAUAUUCAGGCCAACACUAGGAAACCACAGCCAAGUCAGGCAGGGCUUGGGGCGGAACUGCUGACACCUCCACCCUAGCCAAUCCAAGGUGCACGCCUGCCUCAUGCAGCCCAGCGUGACUCCCGCCAUUGGCACACUGUGCCCAUCACAGGCUGGAGCUCCUUUCCUCCACCGUCUUCCCAACUCCUGCCAACCAGAACUUAACUACUCCUUUGGAUUCUGCUUUUCACUUGUUCUUCAUCAGACUAUGGAAGCUUAGACUUCAUAAUUUGGCUGAGACUUCAAAAAUAGUUUUAAAGAAAGCUAUUCCCACCCUGCUAAAUGUCUUCAUGUUGGAGUGGACCUUUCCUCUAUCUGUCAACAGAAUGGAUAAAUUGUGGAAGAGUAAUAUCAGAAUACUACACAUCAGUAAAAAACAACAAACUUCUGCUACAAACAAUCAACAUCGAUGAAUCUUUCAGGCAAAAGGUUAUAGAAACAGAUGAUCAGUGGCCCACGGAUUCCAGGCAAAGAAAAGUAUUGGUCUUCCAAAACAAAUAGAGGACGGAGCUGCUGCUGUUGCAUGGUGUCUAGAAACUCAGACAACUUCAUCAUUCCAUAUUUGCAUCCAAGAGAGAGAAAGAAAAACUACAAUCAUUUUCCAUUUACCCAUCAACCCAUCAACCUCCAAAUAAAGGCUAUUAAAAAACAAUCAAAGUGUGAAGAGGGCAGAAAAUGUGAUGAAGAGAUUCUUUGGAGAAAGUAGCUGCCACUGUUACCUUGGGAUCUGCCUAUAGUCCUCACAGAGCUUGGUAAGACAAAAGAUGGCUUUCCUGUAGACAUAGGAGGGAGAGAAAGCUGGGCCAGAGCUGGUUAAAUCCUGCCCAUGAAGACUGCCUUGGAGAGCAGUGGGACUCCAAAAGCACGAGCCAGGAUGGGGUGGACUCAGUGAUGUGCUGGUAAAUGUUUAAGAACCAGCUCUCCAGAAAGAAAAAAAAAAAAGGCUCUGAUUUU